rnacentral:misc_RNA from 1 species
UAUUCCGUCGAGCGCCUGCUCGGUUUUGGGCUGGGCCGCCGUGGCCGGCCCCAAGGUCAGUUGCGGUGCCACCGUGACCCUGGGCGUAGUUAUGUUCUGCCGCUCUAGCGUCUGGCGGUGGCCUGCCAGUAGUCUCUCUA